rnacentral:rRNA from 1 species
AGCAGCCGCGGUAAUUCCAGCUCCAAUAGCGUAUAUUAAAGUUGUUGCAGUUAAAAAGCUCGUAGUUGAAUUUCGGGAUUGACACAUCGGUCGUGCCUUAAGGGGUAUGAACUGGUGUAGUCAAUUUCUCACCUUCUGGAGAACCGCGAUGCCCUUAAUUGGGUGUCGCGGGGAACCAGGACCUUUACUUUGAAAAAUUAGAGUGUUUAAAGCAGGCUCACGCUUGAAUACAUUAACAUGGAAUAAUGAAAUAGGACGUUUGAUUCUAUUUUGUUGGUUUCUAGGAUCGACGUAAUGAUUAAUAGGGAUAGUUGGGGGCAUUAGUAUUCAAUUGUCAGAGGUGAAAUUCUUGGAUUUAUUGAAGACUAACUACUGCGAAAGCAUUUGCCAAGGAUGCUUUCAUUAAUCAAGAACGAAAGUUAGGGGAUCGAAGACGAUCAGAUACCGUCG